ACACUCAUUUAGGGAUUACCCCAUAUGCACUAUAACUCAUUUAGGGAUUACCCCAUAUGCACUAUA
rnacentral:rRNA from 1 species